CCUGAGUUCUUUUAACAGUGAUCUGGGGCUGAGGAAGGUGGGAGAGUGGGAGAUAUACUUCUUUCUUCUCUCAGAAACCUGCUCUGGUCUGCUCACCAGGCUAUGCUUUCAGAAAGCCUCUGUAAGAAAUCCACUACAACCCACUGCAAAGGAUGCUGGUGCCAAGGGGCAUCCUGAGACCCCAGUGCCUGAGCAGCAGCCGGUGGACCCCGCCCAGCUCCAGUACCAGCACCUUGGUUCCUCAUCCAGCCCCUUCUUCUAGGGGCUCAUCUCAGUGCUCUGUGGGGCUUUCCAGGUCUGCACAGAAAGCUCAGAAAAGUGAGAGAGUGUCUUGGGCCUACCCUAUCCAUCCAGAGCUCUGAUUUAUUAUUAUUAUUAUUAUUGUUUGCCAGUACCAGCAAUUGAACUCAGGGUCUGGACACUGUCACUUAGCUUUUUCACCCAAAACUGGCACUGUACCACUUAAGCCACUUCCAGUUUUGCAGGUUAAUUGGAAGUCUCAACCGACUUUCCUUUCCACAGCUGGCUUGGAACCUUGAUCCUCAGAUCUCCACCUCCUGAAUAGCUAGGAUUACAGGCACCCCUCUCAGGUUUCAUUUGACAGGAGGAUCCCACCGGUAGAAAAGGCUAGACAAUCAGAGCCUUACCUCAAUCCAAUCAGAGCAAAAGGGAACUAAAUAUGCAAUCCACAUCCCCAAGACAAAAACGAAGAUCUGUGACAUACAACAAAGCCUCCCCGCUCUUCCCUGGAAUCUCCAAUUCCUGCCAAUUCCCAAAUAUAUGCUGUCUGGGAGUCACAAAGCUGGGAUGUGGAUUUCCCCCAGAUAAUCAACUCCUUGCUAGGCUUUAAGCACAUCCGCUUUCCACCCGUCCCUUCCCUCCCCACCUCUACCCCUUCACAGACCUGCUUCCGAGGAUACUGUGACAGCUUUCUCAGUGAUGGGGACUGGGCAUGGGUAACCACAUUUUCUCGUCAGGGAGAAUCCACCUCCCCC